rnacentral:rRNA from 1 species
UACGGAGGGGGUUAGCGUUGUUCGGAAUUACUGGGCGUAAAGCGCGCGUAGGCGGAUUAGAAAGUUGGGGGUGAAAUCCCGGGGCUCAACCCCGGAACUGCCUCCAAAACUACUAGUCUAGAGUUCGAGGGAGGUGAGUGGAAUUCCGAGUGUAGAGGUGAAAUUCGUAGAUAUUCGGAGGAACACCAGUGGCGAAGGCGGCUCACUGGCUCGAUACUGACGCUGAGGUGCGAAAGUGUGGGGAGCAAACAGG